UGGGGAAUUUUGCACAAUGGAGGAAACUCUGAUGCAGCGACGCCGCGUGAGUGAUGAAGAUCUUCGGAUUGUAAAACUCUGUCCUUAGUGAAGAUAAUGACAGUAACUAAGAAGCAAGCUCUGGCUAAAUACGUGCCAGCAGCCGCGGUAAUACGUAUGGGGCAAGCGUUGUCCGGAAUUAUUGGGCGUAAAGGGUACGUAGGCGGUUUAAUAAGUCCUAAUUAAAAGGCUAUGGCUCAACCAUAGUAUGGUUAGGAAACUGUUGAACUUGAGUAGAUGAGGGGAAAGUGGAAUUCCAUGUGUAGCGGUGAAAUGCGUAGAUAUAUGGAGGAACACCAAUGGCGAAGGCAACUUUCUGGAAUCAAACUGACGCUGAGGUACGAAGGCGUGGGGAGCAAACAGG
rnacentral:rRNA from 1 species